AUGCACGCUAGCGGUAGGCCUAACACAUGCAAGUUGAACGCAUACUUUUACAGUAUAAGUAGCAAACGGGUGAGUAACGCGUGAGAAAUCUACCUUACAAUCUGGGAUAAAAUCCCGGAUUCUUUCUAAACUAGAUGUUCCGACAAAUAGUAUAGAAUAAAAGAUUAAAUGUCGUUGUAAGAUGUGCUCGCGUAGGAUUAGGUAGUUGGUGAGGUAAAAGCUACACCAAGCCGAAGAUCCUUAGCUGGUCUGAGAGGAUGAUCAGCCACACUGGGACUGAGACACGGCCCAGACGCUUUCGAGCGGCAGCAGUGAGGAAUUUUGGACAAUGGGCGAAAGCCUGAUCCAGCCAUAUCGCAUGAGUGAAGAAGGCUCAAUUGGUUGUAAAGCUCUGAUUUGAUUGAAGAUUAUGACAUAAGAUCAAAGAAGAGUCCCGGCUAACUUCGUG
rnacentral:rRNA from 1 species